UAACCAACAAUUCUAACAUGGGUUUGAUA
rnacentral:piRNA from 1 species